rnacentral:rRNA from 1 species
GACGAACGCUGGCGGCGGGCUUAACACAUGCAAGUCGAACGGAAAGGCCCUGCUUUUUUGGGGUUCUCGAGUGGCGAACGUGUGAGUAACACGUGAGUAAGCUGCCCUUGACGUUAUGAUAACUUCAGACAACUGGUGCUAAUACCGGAUAGGAGCUCCUGCUGCAUGGUGGGGGUUGGAAAGUUUCGGCGGUUGGGGAUGGACUCGCGGCUUAUCAGCUUGUUGGUGGGGUAGUGGCUUACCAAGGCUUUGACGGGUAGCCGGCCUGGGAGGGGGACCGGCGACAUUGGGCCUGAGGUACGGCCCAGACUGGUACGGGAGGCAGCAGUGGGGAAUAUUGCACAAUGGGCGGAAGCCUGAUGAGACAACGCCGCGUGCGGGAUGACGGCCAUCGGGUUGUAAAGCGCUUUAGCCUGUGACGAAGCGUGAGUGACGGUAAUGGGUAAAGAAGCACCGGCUAACUACGUG